UACAGAGGGUGCGAGCGUUAAUCGGAAUUACUGGGCGUAAAGCGCGUGUAGGCGGGAAGAUAAGUCGGGUGUGAAAUCCCUGGGCUCAACCUAGGAACUGCAUUCGAAACUGUCUUUCUGGAGUGAUGGAGAGGAAAGCGGAAUUCCCGGUGUAGAGGUGAAAUUCGUAGAUAUCGGGAGGAACACCCGUAGCGAAGGCGGCACUCUGGGCCGGUACUGACGCUGAGGAGCGAAAGCGUGGGGAGCAAACAGG
rnacentral:rRNA from 1 species